UAGGGGCAACCCCUCCUGUUUCCCUCAAAAUUGAAAUGUGCAGUACUAUGUACAUUAUUCUAAACUCUGUUGUGUAAUAAAGAUGAGACUAUUCGGUGUCUUUGCGAGUAUCAGCCUUUUUUUUUUGAAACGAUGUAGUAUCAGCCUUGAUGAUGUAGGAACUGAUAGAGUAAGCACACGAUUUCCAAAGAGGGGACCCCACAUCUACCACCAAGUUAAAAGGGAUUUGGGGAUAAUGGUUCCCCUUGUCUUAACUCCUUUUGAUUGGAAUUUGGAAGUAGUGACCAUCACCAUUAACCUUGAUAGUAAGCUCCCUCCAUUUCAAAAUAUAAGGU
rnacentral:lncRNA from 1 species